CUCCAUGCGCUGCCAGGUCGCGGUGCUCUACUUCGCGAGGAGCGCCGAGCUGGCGGGGCUGCGCUCCGAGACGCUCUCCGUGCCGCGCCGCCUCACCUCGCUGCAGCUCUGGGAAGAGAUCGUGAAGCGGCACCCAAGGCUUGCUGCCCUCCGGGAUCAAGUGGUGUUUGCUGUUCGGCAGGAGUACGUACUGCUUGGAGACCAGCUCCUGGUCCUGCACCCCGGAGACGAGGUUGCCAUCAUCCCACCAAUCAGUGGCGGCUGAAUCUGUCCAAAUAAUCUYUUAUACGGGGAUGUGAUGUGUAUUUCCUCUUCUCACCCCAACUGUUUUGAGAGAGUUUAUCUUGUCCUUCCCGCUGGAGAGAAUCAUAGUGCUGACCAGAAACUAUAAGCUGCUGUACGAAUAAAUAAUUAACACGUACUCACUUGGUUCCAAUAACUGAAGCAAGUGUAAUUAUUGCCGUCUCCUCUCCACACAGAGCA